UCUGUGAACAAACCAAAUAAAACAAUCAAUACAUACAUUAUAUCGAUCAAACAAACAAAUGAAAAGUAUAAAUAAGUUUGUUUGUUAUGUUUAGUUGGCGAAAUGACAGCUCCACGUCAGCAGCCGCUCAAGCACCGCCAAACUGCACAACUAAAAUGUAUAUUUCUGCGGGGCGGUGUGGCCCAUGUCUCUCCAUCUGCCACCAUACAAGAACUUUUACAUUACUCUCCAACACCCGAAGAAAUUACCCUUCAACAGCGCAUCAAAAAUGCAGCUGAAAACUUCACCGAUAAGCACAAAAAUGUCAUGAAUACUAUGAGGCAGGAAAUGAUGCCUGAAGAAACCAAUUUUGACGAUGCUAUACACCUUCUCGAGGCGCCAACCCGUCCACAAACCUCGUCACCAGACGUCAUGGAAAAGCAUGCUAAAAAAUUUAAAGCAAUUGAAUCACAAGUUUUUCUCGUCAAAAAUUCAUCCACAUCCAGCGUUUGCUCGAAUAAUUUAACCUACGAUUAUAUGUCUGGGGUGUGGAAGAUGCUACAAUCGGAAAGGGAAGGUGAGGACUUCGUGAUCAGUCCGAAAGGGUACGAGUUCGAUGUGGCGAAAACAAAAUGGGUGCCCAAAUCAGACGAAGUGGUAAAACAAGUUGAAGAAUCCAAACAAAAGUGCGAAGAGUGGCUAACAAAAAAAUGCGACUAUAGUCUCGCUGACAAGCCAGCAAUUCAAAAAUGUAAAUUGCUGCCAAAGAUUAAAAGAAAUCGCAAUAAACUUACUUGAGACGGGGACGAAACGCUGCGUUUCAGCUCGUCUGUCCGCACUUUCAUCGAUGUGGGUGUCAGGUCUUCGGAUUUAACGCGCAACGAGGUGGGGCCAAUCGUAACUUCCGAUUGAUCUGUGGUCCCGCUACUUGUUGUGCCGCCAUCUUCGCUCGGUGUGUGUGGUAUUAUUUGUAGCGUAGGCGGUAUUAAUGGAGGCGGAGGGCUAGCUGACUGAAAUGACUUUACUUUCAAUUAGAUAGUUUUAAGAUAAAAUUGCGGGUAACUUACCAUUUGGCUGGGCAAUAGCGGAUGCGAAUGUUGUUUAACUAGCACAUUUCCUGGCACGGCAAGAUGUGGACCAGGAGGCGGUGAAGCUGAGGUCGGAAAAGGAUCGGACACCUGGCGCUCCACCCUCAAAUGUGGUACCGAUAAAUAGUGCGCGGUGUCGCCAUCAGGAUUAUCGCCUUCUUUCUUAAUCCGUGAUUGCCGCAUAAGAAUUCGACUACGCUUUGAGCCCAGCAUCGUGUUAGUGUACUGCGACGAUUGCGAGAGCUGCGCAUGAGUGGUUAUUAUCACCCUGUCUGAAAUCAAUCCACACUUAUGUUUAGCAUAAACGUUAGAUAAUUAUUUAGUGAAUGUAACAGGUUCCAAAACAAGCACAAAACACCAGUCACAAGAAACAUAAUAUAAUAUAACAAAAUAUAUCCCAUAGUUAAAAA